GAGGCCUAGUGCCAUGCGGGAGGUAUGACUAAUAUUCCCAAAUUGUUUAAAUAAACUAUAUUAUGGAACUCUUGAUCCAUCUUCAUAUGCAGUCCUAAUAUCUUGUUAUUUAAUAUGGGAAAACUUGAAUGAUUGAUAGGCUUUGCACCAGAUAUUUCCCUAAAUGUUAUGCACGAACUUAAGUACUUAGGUUAUAGCCCUUGACUGCACUCACACUAUUUGGCUUUUUGGGUAUUACAUGUUGGUCUUGUAGCAUUUCAGGUGUUGCACAUUGCACUAGAUAUGUUCCAUAAAUAUGAAGCAGUUGGAAAGAUAAAUGGAUUCUGGUAUAGAUAGUUCAAGUAUUACAGACCUGUAAUUAAGCAGCUGCAUUUUUAUUGAUUAUGACUGUGUUUUAUGAGCUGUCAAUUAUCAAAAGCGCCUGAGAUAUUAGUGCUACUUUUUUAAAAGUAGAGUAUGGCCUGUAAGCUUCAUUAGCAGAAUCCUGGGACAAACUUAAUAUUUGCAAUACCCAACUUGUUUGCAAAAGCUUUAGAAAUUUGUUAUGGAAUCUCUCUCCCUCUCUCUCU
rnacentral:misc_RNA from 1 species